rnacentral:rRNA from 1 species
GAUGAACGCUGGCGGCGUGCUUAACACAUGCAAGUCGAACGAUGAAGCCCAGCUUGCUGGGCGGAUUAGUGGCGAACGGGUGAGUAACACGUGAGUAACCUGCCCUUGACUCUGGGAUAAGCCCGGGAAACUGGGUCUAAUACCGGAUAGGAGCGCCUGUCGCAUGACGGGUGCUGGAAAGAUCUUUCGGUCAUGGAUGGACUCGCGGCCUAUCAGCUUGUUGUUGAGGUAACGGCUCACCAAGGCGACGACGGGUAGCCGGCCUGAGAGGGUGACCGGCCACACUGGGACUGAGACACGGCCCAGACCCCUACGGGAGGCAGCAGUGGGGAAUAUUGCACAAUGGGCGAAAGCCUGAUGCAGAGACGCCGCGUGAGGGAUGACGGCCUUCGGGUUGUAAACCUCUUUCAGCAGGGAAGAAGCGAAAGUGACGGUACCUGCAGAAGAAGCACCGGCUAACUACGUG